CCCCAGCGCCGCCGCCGCCGCUGCUGCUGCUCCGUGGCAGGAGGAGCCAUUGACACCGUCGGAGCCUCCACUCCAGUCCACCUCCCUCCACCCCAACCUUCACCUGGUUUUCUUAAACCGAACUUGGAGUGAGGGACUCGGUCUUUGGUAACUCCGGAUUUCUGUGCUCGGUAGGUUCAAACUCUCAACUGUAGGGAGCGCUACAAGCUCUGUGCCCUUUAGUCCAGCUGAGGGUAUUUGCAAACCUUAAGAAAUCUGCUUUGACUCAGCUUAGAACUUGAGUUUGGAGUCGGUUCCGGCUUUUGUCACUCAAACUUUCAGAAUGUUUUAGAUCUUUAACCAGUUUGUUUGCUUUGGUUUUUGGAAAAGUGGUCUACAUAAUGUCCCGGAAGAAAUAAAGUAAAAAUGGGCAGAGGUUGUAAUUGACCAUUUUUUUGUUUUUUGAUUUUUUUUUUAUUAGAUCCCACGAAGUCAACAAAGAUAAACCCCAAAGAGGAAUUUUCUUUUAUAUCUGUAUCUGGUUCCCUUAGCACAAUCUCUCCCCAAGGAAAAUGUGUUUCUAUUCCCUGGCCGCCGUCAUGAUGACUGAAGAUGUACUCUGCUCACUACUCAUUAUUACAUAGCUGGUAGUUUACCUCUGGAUUCCCUCAUUUUCGGAGCUUUCAGUGACUUUCUACUUGAAUUUCACUGAUUGCUUUCUAGGCUUAAGAUAGAUAAAACAUUACAAAGCUUCAGAAAAGAUCGAAAGGGAGAAAAGUGAAUUCUAGGAGAAGCACAAGGAGAGGUAAGCCGGUAUUGUGCUAUGUGAUCCCCAGAUAUCUUAUGUGACUUCAGGCAAAUUACCCUUCUGGAUGUUAGACAUCUGCCAUUUAAAUAAAACUUUAUCCUACGGUGUACAA